UCUGUGAACUGAACUGAUGUUAAUUUCUACACUGUACUGAGUGUAACAUAAUAAUAAUAAUAAUAAUAAUAAUAAUAAUAAUAAUA